rnacentral:rRNA from 1 species
CUACGGAGGGUCCAAGCGUUAUCCGGAAUCAUUGGGUUUAAAGGGUCCGCAGGCGGUCAAUUAAGUCAGAGGUGAAAGCCCAUCGCUCAACGAUGGAACUGCCUUUGAUACUGGUUGACUUGAGUUAUACGGAAGUAGAUAGAAUAAGUAGUGUAGCGGUGAAAUGCAUAGAUAUUACUUAGAAUACCGAUUGCGAAGGCAGUCUAAUACGUAUAUACUGACGCUGAGGGACGAAAGCGUGGGGAGCGAACAGGAUUAGAAACCCCAGUAGUCC